AUGCACGCUGGCGGCGUGCCUCAUCCAUGCAAGUCGAGCGAACAGACGAGGAGCUUGCUCCUCUGACGUUAGCGGCGGACGGGUGAGUAACACGUGGAUAACCUACCUAUAAGACUGGGAUAACUUCGGGAAACCGGAGCUAAUACCGGAUAAUAUAUUGAACCGCAUGGUUCAAUAGUGAAAGACGGUUUUGCUGUCACUUAUAGAUGGAUCCGCGCCGCAUUAGCUAGUUGGUAAGGUAACGGCUUACCAAGGCAACGAUGCGUAGCCGACCUGAGAGGGUGAUCGGCCACACUGGAACUGAGACACGGUCCAGACUCCUACGGGAGGCAGCAGUAGGGAAUCUUCCGCAAUGGGCGAAAGCCUGACGGAGCAACGCCGCGUGAGUGAUGAAGGUCUUCGGAUUGUAAAACUCUGUUAUUAGGGAAGAACAAAUGUGUAAGUAACUAUGCACGUCUUGACGGUACCUAAUCAGAAAGCCACGGCUAACUACGUG
rnacentral:rRNA from 1 species